rnacentral:lncRNA from 7 species
UUAGCUACAGUUGGUGUUUGAUAUUCUACGUGAUGAAAUAUCUGGUGUUGAGAACUUCAAAAAGGAGUUCCAAAUAGUCGGAUGCAGAAACCUAUGUGAAAAUAUCUGCUUUCAAAUUCAGGGAUUCAGCACGUGAACACUGGAAUCUAGUCUGAACUUCAGAAGAGCACUGUCCUGCUCCAGAUGUGGAGCCUACUGCUGGACACAGCACUCCAAAUGCAGCCUCACCCAUGCGGAGUAGCAGGGAAAGAUCACCUCCUUCAACUUGCUGGUGAUGCUCUUCCUAAUGCAAUCCAGGAUGCCUUUCUUGCUGCAAGGGAACAUUGCUAAUUCGUGGUCAGCUUAGCGUCCACCAAGGGAAGCACAAAGGGAAAAGGACAAAUUGUGGCAUAUAUCGAGAAACCAGAUUGCCAGUGUGUGAAAGAAAAAGGCAAACAUUAAUUAGGCUGAUCAUGAAGAGGUAUUGCUUGCUUUCCUUUGCCAUUAUUUUGGAAACCAGGACUGGAGCUUUCAGGCUAGGUAGGCAAUACAAUUGUACCAGUUUGUAAGAGUUGUUGAAUAUAUUAAGUAUACAUAUGGAUAAAUGAAUGGAAAUGAAAAUAUUCUUUACAUCGAAUAUGGCUUAUUAAGUGGAACUGUGUAGAUAUACAAAGAAGAGAAGCACAUUUAAUGACAAACUGGUCUUCUUAGCCAGUAUAAAAUAAUUUAAGUGAUUGUUACACAUCAUAUCAAAAUUGUUUUUCUUAUUGCAUCUUAGCAAAUGGGAUUGUGAAGAAGUGCUAUACAGUAGUAACUUUUUGUGCAUUAUCUUCUAUAGAGAGUAUUAUAUUUGGGUUUCGGUUUGAACUGAAUGUUAAGACUGGCUCUUGAGAAACUGGCCAUCUAUAUAACCUUAAUAAUUCCAAUUAAAAAAAUAGGUGAAUUGCUAGGUGUGCAUCUCCAUUCCAGGACAGAUGGUUAUAUUUAAACAAAGCAAACUGCACUUAACAUAUAGGCAUACCCAGUUUACUGUCUUUUUAUCUUUGAGAAAGCUGAUCUAAAUACUGAUACUUCCCAGAAUAAGAGCAAAAACACUUAUUACUUGGAAGUGUAGACAAAUGUAUCCCCAUUCACUAAAUAAUGAGUACUGGUGCAUACAGAGAACUAUCUGGAUACAUUUUGUUUGUGCUUAAUUAUCCAUUUUCUUUGGAUACAUCACAUAAUUUUAUUUACAAGUGAUUUUUUUUAAGUGUGAUCCUCAAUACUGGCAAUCAGUCAUUCUGUUACAAAUCAUAUUCUUAUUAAAUGUGAUAUAUAAAAUG